UCACAACAGCAUUCUUCUUUCUGUCAAGCAUCAAUGCUCUUCCGAGUGGAAAAGGACAUACAAAUAAAGUCAGCUAUUUAUUAAGUAAGAACAACAACAAUAAUACUAAUAAUUAAUAAAAUGGGGGAAGGGAGGGGAAAGAUUAAAAAAGGUUGCAUAAUUAGAGCAUUGGAACAGGGGAAGAUUCUUGUAUAAAGAGGGUGUCGUCCAAUACUAAUCAUUAUAUUUCCCCUCUCCUUUCCCUUGAAACCACAAAUGUAGAGAGGUGCACUGCAUACCAUACUGGCGAAAAAGGCUCAACCUCUAGAGAGAGAGAGAAUGAAUGA
rnacentral:lncRNA from 1 species